GGGUGCGAUCAUACUAGCGUUAAUGCACCGAAUCCCAUCAGAACUCCGCAGUUAAGCGCGCUUGGGCUAGAGUAGUACUGGGAUGGGUGACCUCCCGAGAAGUCCUAGUGUUGCACCGU
rnacentral:rRNA from 1 species